GCAUGGUAAUGUGGUUUGCAGGUCUGACUGACCUAGUGCACCUUUCAUUUAUUAGGCUGGCCUUUUGCAAAGUUGGUGAAACCUCCUGUGUUUUCAAGAUACUAUUAUUAAUUUGAACUCUAUCAGACAAGACUAGAUCUGAAACUUUAGCAGACUUUAGGGAAUUGUAAGUGAGAAUAAGGUUGGGGAAUCUUAUCUAGACUUAAGAAAGUGUGUCCAAUUAACUAGGUAAAUCUUAGGGUUUGGAGCUUAUCCCCCUCCCCAGCAUCUGGGCAAACUUUUUCUGAAUUCUUUAUUUUAAUUGGUUCUGUGGAAGUCAAAAAAGAGAUCUUCCUGCUUUGUUAUUCCUGUUAUGGCAAUGGUCUAUGCCUUUGGGGAAACCAAGUUGCAUCAAGUUCAAGGAACAGGUCUCCAUUUGCACGGUGUCUGUAGCAGAACCAGGACCAGAAUUUUUGAUCUUUGACUGUUGCUCCAGAUGCUCAACUACUUUGUACUCUGUGCUUUGUUUGGGUGGAAAGAGACUUGCCUGAAACCUGGCACGGGUCUCUUGUGACUGGAAGCUGCCACUCUGACAGUUAUUUAAUGGUUCAGAAACAAGGAGCUGGUGGAAAAACUCUGCCAUUUGGUACAGAAGAAGGUUUGUUCCUCCAGUAGUUAAGGCUUUUGUGGCACCUGGCUUGGAUUCAGCCAACUGGACAAUGAAAGAGGAAACAGACCUCACAUCUUGACCUUCCUCCUGCACCCAGCUACUGAUCAACAGUCUCCAACUGUAAUGUUGUUGACAUUUUUGAUGCAAAUGCUUGUAUGUUUGUCUCGGGAAUUAAGAGAUCAGAAUUAUGUUCCUUCACAGAAACCUUGUGGAAAAGCAGCCUGGUGCUUUGUUGGAUAGCUCUAGGAUAUGUGGAAAUAUUGCGGCCCCAUCACUGCAGUCCAAAGACUGACAUCAGUGGAGCCAACAGAAGGGAUCACAUUCCCUUAGGUACUGGUAUGCUUCAGCCACAAUAUUUAUUUGUGGCUGGAGCAAGAGGAUUCACUGUUGUUGGACUGGAGUCUUUGUUGUGGUGAGCACUGCCAGAUACACUAAGCACUUUAAAUAUCUGAGCAGAUGCAUCCUGGAAGCUCUGCCACUGGUGUCAAUUGGGAAUCCUAUUCCUUACCUUACAAAAUCCAGACCUAAUUUAUUUACUGUCUCCGAGACUCAGCUGCCAGCUUACUGCAUUUCUAAAGAUUUGGUCUUUUCCCUUCAUCAGUUUAACUUCAUGAUAAUGCCAUUUCACAAAAUACUGAUACAGUUCUGCCUUCGCUUUCCUCCUGCUUGUCUCUCUGUCAAACACCCUCACUCUCUCAUUUUGAGUCUCUCUUCUGUCUCAGCUUUUUCCUCAUUCUUGCUUUGUCCUGUCUCAUUAGGUAUCCCUCAACCUUUGCACUUUUCAGACCAUCAUUACUCACUUCAAAGACAUUACGGAGUCCUGAGAAAUGGGUAGCAGAGGGAAUUUUAUAAAGAAGGGGGAAAUAGGACCUUCGGCUGGUUGUCUGCUUUUUUUAUUAACAAAUACCCUUUGGUAAUGAAGACUUCAAGGGGGCUUCAUUAGGGUUUAAGAAGAGAACAGCAUGAAAGUUAAUUACCUGGAGUCAAGAAUCUGUAUUUUCCCUUCAGCAGUCCAGUGCUAUGCUUUAAAGGCAAUCAAUGGAGAGUUGUCUGGCAAACAUUCAAUCUUUCCUUGAAAUGUUCAGUGUAAUUAGAGCCUCUCCUGUCUGUCAUGAAGACAAAUUGUUUGUGGACCACUAGCAGUUGAGUACUGUACUAUGCCUUCAACUUUUAUCAUAAUUAUAAUACCAAUAUUCAAGGAAAUAUCCCAAACUGAGAAAUGGAAACUUAUUGCUAAGCUAAUUGCUUUGUAAUGAAUUGCUGCUGCUCAUGGAGAAACAUUCUAUUUUUUCCCCCUUCAUUUUCUUUAGGGCCAUCAGUAUUUGCAAUGCAAAUAUAAACCAACUUAGAAGCUUUCUGUAAAAAGAAUCAUCUAUUCCAUGGUUGUGGCUAAUUUUUGUUUUUAACUGGGGCAUGUAUUGCUGUGGAGGAGAAAGAGGGGGAAAAACAAAACAAAACAAAAAAAUCCUACAAUGACAACAUUGAAAAAGGAAAUCUAACCCUGUCCAAAAUUUAGUGAUUAGAGAGAAACAAAGAUUUCAUUAGUCUCACAGAAGUUACGGUCAGCUGCUUGUUGGAAAAUGAUAUUUUUUUCUCUGAUAUUUUGUUGAUACUUUGAAAUCAUAAUGACUUUGUGUGCUGCUCUUGUCAAUUAACUGUAAGUAAUAAUGUGAUCAUUAUGACAUGAGGACAUACCAAAGCCUCUGUCCAGCAAGAAUGCUAGCAAAUGUGCGUAUGUGUGUGGAAUGAAGAUGUGGUGGAAGAGUUGAUUUGGGUUUAGGGAGCAGUAAUAAAUGCUUAAUCAUUUCUGGAGAGUCUCAGUGGUGAUAAUCCUUGUCACUGCAAGCCUUUGAAAAAAGAUGAAGAAGUUUAACUCAAACAGCCAGUUAAUCAUAUUGAAUAGAAAAAUAAGUGGAUGAAUGAGUCAGUUCUGUUUGCUUUGUCACCUUCAAAGCAGCCACUAUUUUAUAACAUUGUCAUUACUUUUUGUGUGUGUGUGGAGUUACAAGAACGGUUUUAAUAUAUGAGGCUGACCAGGCUUGGAGUCAGCUGUAGAUGAAGUUCUUAAUUGUCUGUAAAGCAUUUGGCACAGUAAGAGAAAAAGAAAGCAUAUCAGUAGGCCCAGUUGACCAGGAAGUUUUGGGUGAGUUGUCAAAUGUGCAAAAUGCAAUUCAGCUGCCUUCUUCCAAGGGCAGGGGAAAAAAAUCAUAUUAAAAAAUUGUAGGUUUCAGUGAGGCUGCAGUUAUUUAUCCCAUGUGAGGGUCUAACCUAGAACAUCCAGCUGCAUUGUGAUAUAUCAUUGUAGAAAGCAUUUAAAAGGGAAUAAGAAGUAGGGAUGUCUUCCUGUUUAGUACAUCAGAUCAAGCAGACUGGGACAUAGGACUUUUUGAAAUGCACACCUUAGCUUGUGUUUUACCUUCUGUAGUGCUGUCUUGUGUGCUAAAUCUCUUACUGAUGGUGUGCAAUACCUACUGGAACGGAACAGCGUGUACUGGUUGCCUACCCUAAAGAAAAAAAGGUGUGUGAUUGUGUUUCUGCUGAUCAGCAUCACGUUUCUUAUCAUAAUACGCACACUUAUAAUUCGACUUGUAUUUUGUUUUGGAGAAGAAAAAAAAACAAAACAAACAAAACACUGUUACAUCUCUGUAACAGUGGCUCUUUUAAGUUCAGAAUAAGCGUGUGACCCACUUCACUGUUCCCUUAACUGGACUGAUUUAUAUCCUGUACAUUGUAUCUUCUGUGCCAGGUAGUGUUCUGAGCAAGCAUGUUGAAGCUUUGUUGUAUUGACAUGUGGCCUUUCAAUUCAUUCCCUAGUGACAGCAACUUCUUUUUUUUUAUGCAGCUUUCUACCUAAAUCUGCUUUGCUCCUUUUCUUACCCUGCUGUGUGUCCUGUUGCAGUACGCUGUUCCUGGCUUCUCUCUGGUUGUUUCCCUUCAUGUGCAGUGUUCUUUGGUGAAAACAUCUUUUUUCUUCCAUGCUGUAUUUUUUUCCCCCAAUUCUUUUCUAUUAUACUCUCCAGGGUUUUGCUUGCUUGUGUUCUUUUCUGUCUGGCCAGCCUAUAUUGACUUUCUUGGACAUUAAAGAUGCUUAAAAUCAGUUUGAAAAAU